GGGGAUGUUCUGGAUUCGACAUUGGUAGUUGAGCACUGGUUGCAUCUCGUAGGUUACGUCUACGUUAAAACGUUACAGUUAAAUUAUAACUGCAAAAAAUAAUAACAAUUCUUACGCUUUAGCUGCUUAAUAACAGUCUAAACGUGAUCCGUUUAACUAAGCCCAAGGGUUAAUGCGGGUCUCAAAUAAUUGGGCUACGUUCUUAGCUCCCACCUCUAGUUAAGAAAAGAGACACUCAGGUUAGUUGUUAAGAUUAGCCUCGUGACACGGCGCACUUGGCAAUGAAAAUUAAAUAGUGUGACUAUGGAUGUAGAUACUGGUGUGGCAGUACUGAUGGACAGGAGUUCGAUUCUCCUCAUCUCCAUCA
rnacentral:tmRNA from 1 species